CUCAGCUUGGCGGCCAGCGAGCAGCCGUUCCUGUAGGCGUCGGGCUGGACGUGGGCGGGGAAGCGGCGCGACAGUAUCUCCGCCACCAGCUUUUCCCAAGUCAAGUUUGGAAAGCAGUCUGCAUAUCUGAAGAAAAUGAGUAUCUACAAAGCUGAGAUGGGGAGAAGGUAUCCUACAGAUAUCAACUAGAAACUACGUCCUGAGUAAUAACAAAAAUAACUUGGCUUGACUGGUUAAUUUGAAAGUCUGAUCCCAUUAUGAAAGUAAGGCUGCACUCUUGUUAUAUGAAGCCUAAGUCACUAAACAAGAGCAACUAACUGCUAGUAGAAUUUUCUGUUUGUUUUUAUGUAUCAAAUGGAUACUAAACAACAGAACCAUAGAAAUCUGCAUGGAGAAGCAAACCACAAUAAAAUUCCAGCACGGAUAAAGAGAACAGUAACUUCUUUGUUAAUAUGCUGCCUUUACCCCUGCCUCCUUCCCUUCUAGUACUUCUUAACUAUCCUCCUUUACUGAUAUAAAAAUUAGCCAUCUGUAAAAUUUUUAAAGGAAAUUCAUAUUUCUGGUUUUUAUUUGUACUGUUCUUUUCAGGUACUUAACACAAAUUAAUAAUUAACUGGAAUAAUACACAUUUAUUUCACGGAAUCCUUCUAGAUUUUCCCAUUUCUCUUUAAGAGAAAAUCAGAGGCAAGUUUAUAGUUAGGGGGGUUAAGAGAAUGAAGGAAGAGCAGCCGUAAUUUUUCAUCUUGAAAUUACAGCACAUGGGAACUGCCCUACUGGAACAGUCUGCUUAUAGAACAGAAGUAGGUGGGCUACUUCUAUUCUAAUAAGAGAGAAGAAAACUGCAUUCUCCCAGAGGUUAUGCUGCUUUCAGAAAGUUGUUUUCUUCAGAUUUUAUCUAGCUGAAUCAGCCACAAUAACUCACACAUAGACGACUUCUAUAUAUCCAGCAAUCAGGGUCUGCAAGUAAAAGCUGGAAGAGAGACCUUGUGAAAGGCCAUGCACAUCAGAAGCAUAAGUUUAAUACUAGGAUUACUUGUCAACUCGUACUAUCUUCCUCAAGAAAACAAACGUGAAGAUAUGAUGAAUCAACAAGAAACCUUAUUGAGCACAUAUAUACACCUGUCUGUGUCAGGAAAAUAUCAGCAUUUGCCAGGGUGUGGGGGCUCAACUCAGUUUUACUUUUCCUUUCCAUUUGGAAUGGAAUCCCAGGACUUUCAGGAGAAGGUGGUGAGGAUUAGGAUCAAGCAAAGCAUCUUGUGCUGCAGGGCGAGUAUUGACAGUGGGCUAAGAAGACCUGCGUGUUUUUGUAGGACUUCCGUGGGUGAGGCUGUCAGCUGAGAAUGAAGCUGGGUGCUUCCAGUGGAGUGGCACCAAUGACAUAAAAGUAGUUCAUACUACUGCUUCCCACAGAUUCCAGCCCCCACAUUAUUAUUAUUCUCACCAUCCACACAGGUGCGACCAUGCAGCAGCAAGGAAGACAGCAGAUACAAUGACAGCUGCCAUGGCUUUGGAGAGGAAGACUUCCAAGAGAGUCAGCAACACCUGCUCAUUCUGUUCCCAAAAGCAGAAAUCAGAAAUCAAUGAAGGUUCUAUCAAGCAGCAGCUGCACAAAAGCCUGAGGUAUUAACUCUUCACAGGUCUGGAAAUACAGGAAGAGAAUUAAUCUUACUGUGCAGGUCACUGUCACUGCAGAUAGCCUAUUAAGGAGCUAAUUAUACCCCAAAUUAAUCUGCAAUAUAUGACACUGAACUGCAGGUGCUCCAACUGCUCAGAGGGAAACAGUUCAAAACAGAUUUAAGCACAAUGGAGAAAUCGUCUGCAUGAAGUUAGCUAAAGGCAAGUAUAAAGGAAAAGGCAAAUGCAUAUGACACUGUUAUAACAUCAGGUUUAUAGUUGGCUGCAGAUUGAAUCCAUAAUACUAUACUGCUGAGAAAAAAAAAGAAGGAAAAAAAAAGAAGCAUCACUCCAGGAGGUAAUACAUAGGUAAUACAUAUCAUAUAUAUGGCACAUGACAUAACCGACCCACUUUUAUACAACUGAUAUUUUCACUGGUUGCACUAAUAAAGUCUCAGCUGGAGCACUCUAUUUAACAUGAGAAACCAGACAUCAAUAAAAAUGUCUGUGAACUGUAUUUGAACUGGCACAAGUCCAAACAAGGCAACCACAGCAAUUCCAGGUCUAGAAAACAAAACUUAGGAGCGCAGACUAAGUUAAAUCUUGUCUUCUUUACUCCAGAGAAGACAAAAAGUAUAGUGGUGAGAAGAUGCAUGCUAAUAGUCUUUAAAUUGAUCACUUUUCCUAUUUGAAGAAAAAUUCCUAAAUACUUUGAUUACAUUGUAUAUAUUUGGUUCAUGGAAAUAAAAAUUUAGGUAGAUCUUGGGAUAAGUGGGAAGUAUUCUACUGAUGAGGACAGUAAAAAUCAGCACUGGGUGCAUAAGGAUACUGCAGAAAUCACUGUUACUGAGCAUUUUAGAAACAGGUUAGACAAACAUUUGACAGGCAAUCCACGUAUAUUUGGUACCAGAGGGUCCAAAUUACCUCUCAAGGUGCCUUUUAGCUCUACACAAGUGUUAUUCAGACUUCAUCUUCAUAAACAAAUUAUAUGAUUUAUAAUUAGUAGAGAUUUUAUAUGCACAUUUCUGGACUUACCUAAUGCUGAACACUGAUCUAAUUCUUAUAUUUCAAUGCCACAUACGCAUUACUGAUUAACUAUGGGCACUGAGAUUUAAAGGAUAAAUUUAACACAGUAGUCUGGUGACUAUCUGAACAAGAGACAAAAUAUUUCUGAAUUAGUAAGGAAGAAAAUAUAAUCUGUUCCACUACUUCUAUCCAGCAACAAGACUACAUAGGCCUCAGAUCCUGUACUGACCCAUAUACCUUCAGUAUGAUAAAAGGAGUUCCAUCAAGUGCUACUACUCGGUACCUAAAAUGUCCUCGGUUACACAGGCUUUGUAAAAACAAAGGUUUAUUUCAGUUCAAGAACUCACGUUGGUAAAACUGAAAUAAUGCCUGUGGCUACUAGCACGUUUUCAAAGGAUUUUUUCCUUCUUCAGUACUAUAGCACUCUAUUGUAGCCAAAUCAUUUUAACAGCAAAAAGUAAUUCUGUAGUAUUACAAGGAAACUAAAAAUGCCAGCACUAACAGGAUUUUAGGAGUAUGUAAUCAAGUUAAAACUAGAAAAUGAAAACUAACAUUUCCUGUAAUGGAAGCUACCUUUAAGAUACUAUAAACUUCAAUUAGGCAAUGAUAGCCUAUUAUUUUGUUUUGUGGGGAGGUUUCCUGCUGAGGCUUCUCUGUGUGCUUAAUAAAAACACACAAAAAGAUCACUAAUUAAGUGGAUAUUCAAUAUUUAAUUUUAUCAUUUAAUAGUAGAAGUGGUGGCUUCACAUAACUUAUUGAACAUCUUCUAGACAUUAGAGAAGGAUUUUUUUGCUACAUGGUAUUGGACAGUCUCUACUGAGGCAUCUCCAAACUAUACUUCACAAACAAACAUAAACAAACCCAAUGCCACAACGCGCAGUGAAUGUAGGCACUAUCAUGACCCCUUCUACAAACAUAAGCAAAAGUCCAGACUGAAAGAUAAGGGAAGACUAUAUGCCUUCUGACUUGAUGCAUUUUAUUCUUUUCCCUCUACUUUUCCCCCAGUCCUUCUCCUUCCUUAGAUUUUGUGUCAGUCUUCCCAGACUGAUCCACCUUAGAGCGAGCAGGAAGUUUCUGACAAAAAGUUCUCCUCAUUUUCAAUCAAAGACUAACAUGUUCUCUUUGAGUGUUUUUGCCAGUGGGACAGAUGGUCAUUCCUUGCCAUCCCACCCACUCUAGUGAGUACGUGAACAUGCAUACACCCCCACAUACACCUAUACAAUUAUUCACACAAAAACACACACGCGCAGUAAUGCAAUAGUUCAGAUGUUCUGAUUAACAUACUCAGAUGUAAAAGCUGUGAGCCAGAAUUUUCUAAAUCGUGCAGAGAGGACAUGAUAUAAAUCCACCUCAAGUAAACCUGCAAUGUAAGCUAAUAUCUGCUUUGUCCCAGUACAGAAGAAUGAAAAGAUCUUCAGAUCUGUAGCUGUUUCUGGCAUAUUUCUACAGUUUCUCACUUUGCAUUUAACUCAGGUUAUUUCUUGUUUUUUAUGGUACCUAGAGAUGAGUGGUGAAUGUGAUAAGGGAUGAGACAACCCUUCCUGUUAUGCUGUAUAACUUAAAGUUUCUGUCAUCUCAGAACAUAAGGAGCCACAAGAGACAUGCAAGGCAGCAGGGACCCCAUAUUGAGAAAAAACCAUGGCUCAGUUGUGCAACAGGGUAGUGUAAUCAAGAAAAGAGUUUUAUGUGUCCUGUGACCCAGAAGAAGAAUUAAAUGAAAAUGGCAUUGGCCCAGCAGAGAUGAGCUCGUGGAAACAGCAUUACACAGCUCUGCCAAAGUUCUGCCUGAGCAAACAGAAAAAGGAAUUUUACAAGAGCUUUCAACCCAGUAAAAUGCGGUGGGUCACAGAGACACCCAAAAGCUCAACUUGACAAGCAUAUAGCUUCCUGAUACCUGCCAAGAUGCAAAUUCAAGGAAGCAGAAGGACUAUAGAAUCUCAAAUAAAUUACAGGACACCCCUAAUCAAGAAAUAAUUCUCAUUAAUAUAUGGAUUAAUUUCACUGGAGUGUUGCAAAAUAAUGAAAUACAAAUGUGGAAAAGUUCACCCACAUAUGGCUACAGUAGGAUCAGUUUUAGAAGCAAUUAGAAAUAAAAUAAAUUGUACUAGAGUGGAAAUAUACAUCAAUCUUAAGUACAGCCAUCUUAAGUAUAGGCCUCUCUCCUAACAAGACACUGACUACAAUACUUCCCUAUCAUUCUGAACAUAAUGUUGUCCUGCAAAAAAUACUAAUAAUAAUUUGCUUAAAAAAUCUAACCAUGUCGCUUCAGAUUUUGGUUAAAAAUAACAGAGAACUGUAGAAAAAAAAAAUCUCCUGCAGAUAAGCAAUUGCCUGAAAAAAUAAAAACAAAAAACACACAACAAGUAGUGAUUAGAUAGUAAAUAUAA